rnacentral:rRNA from 1 species
GACGAACGCUGGCGGCGUGCUUAACACAUGCAAGUCGUACGGUAAGGCCCUUUCGGGGGUACACGAGUGGCGAACGGGUGAGUAACACGUGAGUAACCUGCCCACAACUUUGGGAUAACGCUAGGAAACUGGUGCUAAUACUGGAUAUGUUCUCCUGCUGCAUGGUGGGGGUUGGAAAGCUCCGGCGGUUGUGGAUGGACUCGCGGCCUAUCAGCUUGUUGGUGGGGUAGUGGCCUACCAAGGCGGCGACGGGUAGCCGGCCUGAGAGGGUGACCGGCCACAUUGGGACUGAGAUACGGCCCAGACUCCUACGGGAGGCAGCAGUGGGGAAUAUUGCACAAUGGGCGCAAGCCUGAUGCAGCAACGCCGCGUGCGGGAUGACGGCCUUCGGGUUGGAAACCGCUUUCAGCAGGGACGAAGCUUUUUGUGACGGUACCUGCAGAAGAAGCACCGGCUAACUACGUG